rnacentral:tRNA from 8 species
GCGGAAGUGUCGGAAUUGGCAGACGAGCAAGACUAAGGAUCUUGUGUUCAUUGCGAACGUGUGGGUUCAAGUCCCAUCUUCCGCAUCA